rnacentral:rRNA from 1 species
AGUCGAACGGACGAGGAGGAGCUUGCUUCUCCGAGUUAGUGGCGGACGGGUGAGUAACACGUGAGCAACCUGCCCUUGAGAGGGGGAUAGCUUCUGGAAACGGAUGGUAAUACCCCAUAACAUAUAUUUUAGGCAUCUAAGAUAUAUCAAAGAAAUUCGCUCAAGGAUGGGCUCGCGUCUGAUUAGAUAGUUGGUGAGGUAACGGCCCACCAAGUCGACGAUCAGUAGCCGGACUGAGAGGUUGAACGGCCACAUUGGGACUGAGACACGGCCCAGACUCCUACGGGAGGCAGCAGUGGGGAAUAUUGCACAAUGGGGGGAACCCUGAUGCAGCGAUGCCGCGUGGAGGAAGAAGGUUUUCGGAUUGUAAACUCCUUUUAACAGGGACGAUAAUGACGGUACCUGAAGAAAAAGCUCCGGCUAACUACGUGCCAGCAGCC